rnacentral:rRNA from 1 species
ACGGGUGAGUAACACGUGGGUGAUCUGCCCUGUACUUCGGGAUAAGCUUGGGAAACUGGGUCUAAUACCGGAUAGGACCAUGGUUUAGUGUCUCAUGGUGGAAAAAUUAUUGUUUUGGUGCAGGAUGGGCUCGCGGCCUAUCAGCUUGUUGGUGGGGUGAUGGCCUACCAAGGCGGUGACGGGUAGCCGGCCUGAGAGGGUGGACGGUCACACUGGGACUGAGACACGGCCCAGACUCCUACGGGAGGCAGCAGUGGGGAAUCUUCCGCAAUGGGCGAAAGCCUGACGGAGCAACGCCGCGUGAGUGAAGAAGGAUUUCGGUUCGUAAAGCUCUGUUGUUAGGGAAGAAUGAUUGUGUAGUAACUAUACACAGUAGAGACGGUACCUAACCAGAAAGCCACGGCUAACUACGUGCCAGCAGCCGCGGUAAUACGUAGGUGGCAAGCGUUGUCCGGAAUUAUUGGGCGUAAAGCGCGCGCAGGUGGUUUAAUAAGUCUGAUGUGAAAGCCCACGGCUCAACCGUGGAGGGUCAUUGGAAACUGUUAAACUUGAGUGCAGGAGAGAAAAGUGGAAUUCCUAGUGUAGCGGUGAAAUGCGUAGAGAUUAGGAGGAACACCAGUGGCGAAGGCGGCUUUUUGGCCUGUAACUGACACUGAGGCGCGAAAGCGUGGGGAGCAAACAGGAUUAGAUACCCU